AGUGAACGCUGGCGGUAGGCCUAACACAUGCAAGUCGAACGGCAGCACAGUAAGCGCUUGCUCUUACGGGUGGCGAGUGGCGGACGGGUGAGGAAUACAUCGGAAUCUACUUUUUCGUGGGGGAUAACGUAGGGAAACUUACGCUAAUACCGCAUACGACCUACGGGUGAAAGCAGGGGAUCUUCGGACCUUGCGCGAUUCAAUGAGCCGAUGUCGGAUUAGCUAGUUGGCGGGGUAAAGGCCCACCAAGGCGACGAUCCGUAGCUGGUCUGAGAGGAUGAUCAGCCACACUGGAACUGAGACACGGUCCAGACUCCUACGGGAGGCAGCAGUGGGGAAUAUUGGACAAUGGGCGCAAGCCUGAUCCAGCCAUGCCGCGUGAGUGAAGAAGGCCUUCGGGUUGUAAAGCCCUUUUGUUGGGAAAGAAAAGCAGCGGGUUAAUACCCCGCUGUUCUGACGGUACCCAAAGAAUAAGCACCGGCUAACUUCGUG
rnacentral:rRNA from 1 species